CAUUUUUUCAAUCAUGGAAUUCCCUUAAUAAAAUGUCAGGAGGUAUGGGAAUCCAUGUCUUAGCUAAGGGAAAGCCACUCUGAAUAGCUAAUUACCCAUCACAAAAUGGGCUAAAAUAGAGCUUCGAAGGUAUAUAUUCAAUUAUGUCUUCUGAAUGCUGAAUCCUUAGGGCAAACUUAAAAGUGGGAAACAGCCAAAAGACUGAAAUAAAAUAAUUCCCUAAAUGCUGUUGAUCUUAGUUACUACUUACUUUGGAGGUGAAAUUUGAAGUAUUGCUAACAUACUUGUUCUAAUGGCACCUACAUAUUAUAUAAAUGUCUGAGACUGAGAAACAACUACAAUUGGCUAGGAUUAAUUUGUCUCAAAACAUGUACUCUGUUAACCUAACCCAAGGAGGGUCACUUAUGACAGUAUAUAAAUUUCACGGCACCAUAUGUGUGCUAGGGAAAUGGCUUUGCAUUUGCUCCAAUGAGUUUGAUAGAAUCAUAGAGUUAGAUAAGGUCUUAAGAAAACAACUUCCAUCCCUCCCUCCUUCCCAAAUUCUAAUUCUCUAACCUCAUUAGAGACAGAUGUAAAAGUUCCCAGAAUAAGAAAAAUGUUGCUGUUUUAUCAUUUCAUUACUGCAGCCUGAAUCAGUCUUUCUGGCAAAAAGCUAUGGAUGCCAUUGGCAACUCUAGGGAAAAGAGAGAAAAGGAAACUAUACGGAGAUAGAUGAGAAUAAUGAUGGAUUCCAAAGUCAACAAUUACAAUGGACAAAGAA
rnacentral:lncRNA from 1 species